AUAUGAUAUGGAACAAACUGACCCGCCAAUAAAUACUACAUGGAAUGGUUCUCGGAUUAAUUCAAUGUGUGAGGCUGAGGAACCAAUAGAAAAGAAAUUAUAUGACUUUUUUGCUGCUUUGUAUGACAUAUCCAAAUACAUGCUGCUGUUCCUGAACAUCUUGUCCCUAGUGCUGAAGUUUACAUAGCAAGUGAAGAGUAAGGGUUUUAUACUAAUUCUAAAAUGUAAUUUUUUGGGAAUAAAUAUAUAAUGUAUGUUUCAAAA